rnacentral:rRNA from 1 species
UUUCGAAUCAUUCACAAUGGGCGAAAGCCUGAUGGUGCGACGCCGCGUGAGGGAUGAAGGUCUUCGGAUUGUAAACCUCUGUCACUGGGGAGAAAACGCUUUGAGUUAAUAGUUCAAAGCCUGAUUUAACCCGGAGAGGAAGCAGUGGCUAACUCUGUGCCAGCAGCCGCGGUAAUACAGAGACUGCAAGCGUUAUUCGGAUUCACUGGGCGUAAAGGGUGCGCAGGCGGCCGUGUGUGUAAGGUGUGAAAUCCCGGGGCUUAACUCCGGAACUGCGCCUUAAACUACAUGGCUAGAGUAUUGGAGAGGGUAGUGGAAUUCACGGUGUAGCAGUGAAAUGCGUAGAUAUCGUGAGGAACACCAGAGGCGAAGGCGACUACCUGGACAAUUACUGACGCUCAGGCACGAAAGCGUGGGGAGCAAAAG